rnacentral:rRNA from 1 species
UACAGAGGGUGCAAGCGUUGUUCGGAAUCACUGGGCGUAAAGCGCGUGUAGGCGGUUUCCUAAGUCAGGUGUGAAAUCCCCCGGCUUAACCGGGGAAGUGCGCCUGAAACUGGGAGGCUUGAGUAUCGGAGAGGAAAGGGGAAUUCCCGGUGUAGAGGUGAAAUUCGUAGAUAUCGGGAGGAACACCGGCGGCGAAGGCGCCUUUCUGGUCGAUCACUGACGGCGAGACGCGAAAG